GGCAAACGGGUUAAUAUUCCUGUACUUCCUUAGCUGCGAUGGGAGGACGGAGAAGGUUAGACCAGCCACCUGUUGGAUGGUGGUUUAAGCGCAAAGGAGUGCACUCUAGGCAAAUCCGGAGUGAUUAUCUGAAGCGUGAUGACGAGUCUCUUUUGAGACGAAGUGGUUGAUACCAUGCUUCCAAGAAAAGUCCCUAAGCUUCAGGCAAAAGGAAUCCGUACCCCAAACCGACACAGGUGGGCGAGGAGAGUAUCCUAAGGCGUUUGAGAGAACUCGGGAGAAGGAACUCGGCAAAUUUGAACCGUAACUUCGGGAUAAGGUUCGCCUACGCAAGUAGGCCGCAGUGAAGAGGG
rnacentral:rRNA from 1 species